rnacentral:rRNA from 1 species
GCGGGCCUAUCAGCUUGUUGGUAAGGUAAUGGCUUACCAAGGCUAUGACGGGUAGGGGGCGUGAGAGCGUGAUCCCCAACAAGGGCACUGAGACACGGGCCUUACUCCUACGGGAGGCAGCAGUCGAGAAUCUUCCACAAUGGGCGCAAGCCUGAUGGAGCGACGUCGCGUGCAUGAAGAAGCCCUUCGGGGUGUAAAGUGCUUUUCUAAAGGAACAAUAGUCUUUUUAAGACAUUGAGCGUACUUUAGGAAUAAGGGGUUGCUAAAUUCGUGCCAGCAGCAGCGGUAAUACGAAUGCCCCAAGCGUUGUCCGGAAUUACUGGGCGUAAAGCGUCUGUAGGGGGUCUAAUGCGUCUUCUGUUAAAUCUUACUGCUCAACAGUAAGGCUGCAGAAGAAACGAUUAGACUAGAGGAUGUGAGAGGUUGAUGGAACUCAGAGAGGAGGGGUGAAAUCCGUUGAUACUCUGAGGAACACCAAAGGCGAAGGCAUUCAACUGGCGCAUUCCUGACCCUGAGAGACGAAAGCGUGGGUAGCGAACGGGAUUAGAUACCCCGGUAGUCCACGCCCUAAACGAUGGGUACUAGCUGUUUGAAGUAUCGACCCUUCAAGUGGCGCAGCUAACGCGUUAAGUACCCCGCCUGGGGAGUACGG